AGACUUCCCAAAGAAGGUGAUGCCGAAGCUGAGGUCGGAAAUUACGAAGAUCAGCUAUCAUUAUUUUCUACACAUUCCAAGAGUGGAACCUGAGACUGAGGAGAUUAAGCAACUUCAAAUUUCAAGUCUUACUUGAUGAAUAACUGAUGGAGCCAAGAGGGUGAAUUCAGGAAGGCCUGAGGAGAGAAGACACAUAGUCAUGCUGACUAAACCAGAUCACCUAGAAUUACCAAAUGGAAAGAUUGUGCCUGCAGCCUGGCCUGUUGCCCACAGCGGUCUACCUGCCACACUGGGAAAGAUCGAGCAGAGACAGAGAAGAAAAGGAGGCUCCAUUUUUCAGGCUGCUCUCCCGCAGGCUCAUGUUUUGUGUUCAUGCCAGGCAGAGAACACAAAAUGUUCCAAUAAAUAAGUAUCAAAGGUUAGUGGUGAAAAUGAAGGAGGAGGAGGCAUUGCGUGAAAAACUAAACAUGCAAAAUAUUACACACAAAGAGAACCAAAAUGCAGGUUCACUGGAAAUGAUAGACAAUAUGUUAAAACAAGAGGAGAGAAGAGAGCUGAAAUAAUCAAAUGGAAACACACAAUUUAGGGCUAAGAUCUUGUUGUGUUCAGCCACAAAUGAUGGCCAGCAGUGAGGAAUCUGUGUGUUCUCCACACUCUUCGCUCCUGGGAAGUCAACUCACAUGGACCAUGAUAUCAAUAUCUGCUCCUUCCCCUAAUAUCUGUUUGACCUUGGGUCAGUUACUUAAACUUCCUAAGCCUUAGUUUCUUUGUCUGGAAAAUAGGGAUAGUUAUACCUACCACACAACCACUUUGUAAUGAAUAUGUUGGAAAUUAUAUGCAAAUUGGCUUCCGUUGGUGUUUGGAACAUAGUAGGUUUUUAACUGGAAUAUAAUAGCUACCAUUAUCAGUAUCAUCAUAUUAAUUUAUAUUUCCAUCUUCAGCCCUUAACCCAGGAUCUUCAGUAAAUGUUGAAUUCUCAAAUUUGUUAAAUUCACUUGUCUAUACUAAUAUUUUACUCUAGGUUUCUUAGAAUAUUCUAGAUAAUAUUAUUAUGUAGAAUAUGUUAUGUAAGCUUCAUCUUAUCUGUAAAUAUAGUUUUACUUUUUCCUUUCUAAUUUUUAUGUCGAUUACUUCUUUUUCUUGGCUUAUUGAAUUGGCUAGGAUUCCCGUACAGUGUUGAAUACGUGCAGCAAGACUGCACAUCUUGCCUUGUUCCUGGUCCCACAGAGAGAAUAUCCAGUACUUCACAAUAAGUAUGUGUUAAUUGUAGAUUUUAUUAGAUUGAGGAAGUUCCCUUUCCUUUCAAGUCAGUCUUUUUAUUUUAAACAUGUAUUGAAGUUUUGUCAAAUGUCUUCAUCUAUUGGAAUAAUUAUACAUAUCUCUUUUUUAUUCUGUUAAUAUUACAUUUCAAUCUUCUGUCUACCUAAAAUCCCUAGAAUAAUCUCCAUUUGGCUAUGAUGUGUUGUGCUUUUAUAUAUUACUGAAUUCUAUAUGCCAAUAUUAUUAAAAUUUUCUGUCUUUAUGA
rnacentral:lncRNA from 1 species